GAGUUACUGAGGAGUCCCACAAUAGGACGAGACGGCCGUCCAGUGC
rnacentral:hammerhead_ribozyme from 1 species